rnacentral:rRNA from 1 species
UAAGACGUAGGAGGCGAGCGUUAUCCGGAUUCACUGGGCGUAAAGCGCAUGUAGGCGGUUGGAUAAGUCUGUUGUUAAAGCCCCCGGCUCAACUGGGGGAGGUCAAUGGAGACUGUCCGACUUGAGGGCAACAGAGGCACAUGGAACUCCCGGUGUAGCGGUGGAAUGCGUAGAGAUCGGGAAGAACACCCGUGGCGAAGGCGGUGUGCUGGGUUGCAACUGACGCUGAGAUGCGAAAGUGUGGGGAGCAAACGGGAUUAGAUACCCCGGUAGUCCACACUGUAAACGAUGAACCCUAGGUGUGGGGGGAUAAAACCCUCUGUGCCGAAGCCAACGCGUUAAGGGUUCCGCCUGGGGACUAUGAGCGCAAGCUUA